rnacentral:rRNA from 1 species
CCUACGGGGGGCAGCAGUGAGGAAUAUUGGUCAAUGGGCGGAAGCCUGAACCAGCCAAGUAGCGUGCAGGAUGACGGCCCUACGGGUUGUAAACUGCUUUUAUACGGGAAUAACGCGCCUUACGUGUAGGGCUUUGCAUGUACCGUAUGAAUAAGGACCGGCUAAUUCCGUGCCAGCAGCCGCGGUAAUCCGGAAGGUCCGGGCGUUAUCCGGAUUUAUUGGGUUUAAAGGGUGCGUAGGCGGCAUGUCAAGCGUGCUGUGAAAUGUCCGGGCCCAACCCGGGCCUUGCAGCGCGAACUGGCGGGCUUGAGUGCGCGGAAGGCAGGCGGAAUGCGUCGUGUAGCGGUGAAAUGCUUAGAUAUGACGAAGAACCCCGAUUGCGAAGGCAGCUUGCUGCAGCGGAACUGACGCUGAGGCUCGAAAGCGCGGGUAUCGAACAGGAUUAGAUACCCUAGUAGUC